rnacentral:rRNA from 1 species
AGUGUAUGCGACGAGGGAUUGUUCCUUUUAGUCGUAAAUAGAACGACUCUCGGCAACGGAUAUCUCGGCUCUCGCAUCGAUGAAGAACGUAGCGAAAUGCGAUACGUGGUGUGAAUUGCAGAAUCCCGUGAACCAUCGAGUUUUUGAACGCAAGU